GGGCAGGUACCAAAGUGGUUAACUGGGGCAGACUGUAAAUCUGCUGGCUAAGCCUUCGGGGGUUCGAAUCCCUCCCUGCCCACCA
rnacentral:tRNA from 1 species